rnacentral:rRNA from 1 species
AUUGAACGCUGGCGGCGUGCCUAAUACAUGCAAGUCGAGCGAAUCAAAAGGGAGCUUGCUCCCUUUUGAUUAGCGGCGGACGGGUGAGUAACACGUGGGUAACCUGCCUGUAAGACUGGGAUAACUCCGGGAAACCGGGGCUAAUACCGGAUAAGUUGUUCCUCCGCAUGGGGGAACAUUGAAAGAUGGCUUCGGCUAUCACUUACAGAUGGACCCGCGGCGCAUUAGCUAGUUGGUGAGGUAACGGCUCACCAAGGCAACGAUGCGUAGCCGACCUGAGAGGGUGAUCGGCCACACUGGGACUGAGACACGGCCCAGACUCCUACGGGAGGCAGCAGUAGGGAAUCUUCCGCAAUGGACGAAAGUCUGACGGAGCAACGCCGCGUGAGUGAUGAAGGUUUUCGGAUCGUAAAACUCUGUUGUUAGGGAAGAACAAGUACCGUUCGAAUAGGGCGGUACCUUGACGGUACCUAACCAGAAAGCCACGGCUAACUACGUGCCAGCCGCCGCAGUAAAAC